rnacentral:tRNA from 1 species
GGAGCCGUAGCGCAGAGGUCGUCGCGCGGGUCUCCACAACCACGAGGACGCCGGUUCGAAUCCGGCCGGCUCCGCCC